AUUGGUUUGAAAAGCUAUGGGAAACUAUUUACUAACAAUUACUCAGGGGAUUAAACCAGGGGAGUUUGUGCUUUGGAUGGAUAUUUGCUAUGGGAAACUAUCUCUGUCAAAAUAUUGUUGCCUUCUGUAAUGAACAAUCUCCAUUUUGUAUGCAUGCUAUCUUGUGGCUGGAAUCACAUGACAACAUGAGUUGUAUUCAUUGCUUAGUAUCUUAUGCAAAAAUUAUAAUGGAUGAACACCUGCUGGCACAACGUGACAUUAUUUUCCAAAAGAUGAUGCAAUUAGGAAACAAUGAAUUAUAAAAAUUUGUUUGAUGUUGGUAGAUAUUUCCAAUUUGCAAGGAGUAUGAGAGUUUGUUUAACUCAUUUUGUGGAAAGUGAUUUCAGGCCUUUGCUUCAUUCAAAAUGAUGUUAUUUGAAAUUAGAUGCUAUUCCUUCUGUUUUCCC
rnacentral:lncRNA from 1 species